GAUGAAGAACGUAGCGAAAUGCGAUAAGUAAUGUGAAUUGCAGAAUUCAGUGAAUCAUCGAAUCUUUGAACGCAUCUUGCGCUCCUUGGUAUUCUGAGGAGCAUGCCUGUUUGAGUGUCAUUAAAUUCUCAACUACACUGACUUUGAAUUGGUGUGGCUUGGAUUUGGGGGGAAAAUUGUUGUGGGCUUUUUGUAUAGUAUGCUCCCCUGAAAUUGAUUAGCGGUACCUUUGUGGAACUGUCUACAGGUGUGAUAAUUAUCUACAUCUUAGACAUCUGCUGGAAUGCUGCUUUCUAAACCUUACUUGUAUUGACAAUCUUGACCUCAAAUCAGGUAGGACUACCCGCUGAACUUAAGCAUAUCAAUAAGCGGAGGA
rnacentral:misc_RNA from 1 species